GGACUUUGGCCCAGGCGCGUGGGCGCUGCCGAGAGGCUGGGAGCCCGGGAACCGGUUCCUGGACUUGAGCGGAGCGAGAAAGAGCGCGCCGCCUGCACGACUGGACUGGAGCGGCCGGGUGCCCUGGAGGCCCCUGGGAAUUGCAGUCCUUGCGCAGGUGGAGAGUGAGCCCUUAUGAGAAAACUCAAGACUCAGAAACAAUAAAGGUUACAGAGAUGAAAUUGACAGAGCCUGAAUUUCAGUAUGUCAAACUUCAAUGUGCCAUUAUACUUUUAAAUCCUACAGAACAGAUUGAAUCACAACUUCUACUUUUACAUGAGAGAAGACAAUGGGUCCUAUGACUUACUGUCAGUUUCCUUUUCCUGAUUUAAUUAGCUGCUUCUGUAUCUAAUUUUGCUAGGAAUGGAGGAAUAAGGCAAAUUCCCUAAACUACAUAUUGACAUUUAUACUAAUGUGAAAACCUCAAGUCCAUUUGCAGACUUUUGGAUUAGAUUCUGUCCCAGAAAGACAUCCACCCUAGAGUUCAGGAUAUCAUACCCAUUUUACUGUUCCCCUGGCACAAUUCAUAGUAAGGAAAAACAGACAAGGGGAAAGCUAUUAGAUUCUCGGUGCUGCUAAACAGGACACACAAGGACACCAUUUUGUGAUGAUGAUGGUGCUUUAUGCAGCUUCCACCAUUUACAAGAUUUUCCUGUGGUGUGGAACCUCUCAUGAUAAAGCAAAGGAACUAGAAGCUUAUUCCAGUCAAGAUUUCUGAUUUAUCUUGUGGGUUAUGAUUCUGUAUGGUUUCUUUGGUGCUGCAUUAGACCUGAGCUCUGAUUGAAAAUUCUUCCACGCUCGCUACAUUCCAAAACUUUAUCUCCAAUAUGAAUUUCCAGAUGCCUCACAAGGUCUGAGCUCCAUCUGAAGGCUUUCCCAUGCUUGUCACAUUCAUAGGGCUUUUCUCCACUAUGAAUUCUAUGAUGUCGAAUAAAGUGUGAGCUCUGAUUACAA
ensembl:lncRNA ZNF232-AS1 ZNF232 antisense RNA 1